UCGGCUUAGCUCAGUGAUGGACUAUGAUGAG
rnacentral:piRNA from 1 species